CUCUCUAGCCUGGGGGCUCCUCCAGGGCUGCCGUGUAAGCAACUGCGUGCACGUGCCCUUCUCUGCGUUCCUCUUGGUCGGCUCAGCUUGGCACAGACAGAGCAGGCGUCCCGGAAACGUUUGCGGAGCUAGUGAGUAUUGAUAAGGGCUCCGAAGAAAGCUCCCUCCCCUCUCAGCCCGUGGGGUCGACAGUAUAGCCUCCUGCCGCGUAGCAGCCGAGGGCAACUAUGUAACCUCCCUGUGCCUGUUUCCAUCUCUGCCGAGUGGCUCAGCAGCGCCGCCAGCGCGUUGGAGGACUACAUGACAGUUUCAGCGAGGCACUCGGCGCGGGACCGGCCCACAGGCGGAUGGGGCAAACAGCCGCGGUUAGCAUUUCGUGGUUGUCUCUCUCCCGCAUGCUCGCUCCCUCUUCUUCGCUCCCCUCCCUGUACUUUGCUUUUCAUGAGCAUUUCAAGUAAAAAACAGCUUCUGAGCCCCAGGACUGUGGCAGGACAAACACAGUCGCCACUCUCCCCCCCCCCCCCGCCCCCCGCGCCGGGGAGGGGAGCUCGCUGGCUCUGGGGGAGGCAGACACAGAAACUCGGAGCUGCAGCAAGGCUGAAUGAUGGAAGUGCUCACCGCUUCCCUGGGAGCGCAGGGAGGGAGGCAGUCACCGUGGGCUGGGGGAGAGGCGGAGGACCCGGCGAAAUGGGAGUGGAGCUGGGGGGAGAGGCGCCUUCUUGGCAGAGGUGGCCAGCGCGGUGUGGUCCGGGAGCUGCCAGUGUGGUUCAGUAAGACUAGGCCCCUGCUUCUCACACCGGAGCAUGCGUCAGAAUCCCCGAGAAGCCUUGGUGAAAUGCAGAUUGCCAGGCCUCUUUACCAGCAUUUCGGAUUUAUUAAAUCCGGAGCAGGGCAUGAGCUUUUGCAUUUCUUUUUUUUUAAGAUUUAUUUGUUUAUUUCAGAGAGAGAGUGCGCUCAAGCGCCCUUGGGAGUGUGGUGGGAGGAGGGGCAGGGGGAGGGGGAGGGAGAAUCUCAAGCUGACUCGGCCACUCUGCGCUGAGCUCACAGCCUGAGCCCAACCAAGAGGCGGAUGCUUAACCGGCAGAACCACCCAGGAGCCCCCCUGAGCUUUUGCAUUUUUAACAAGUUCCCAGGUGGUCCUCCCGUUCCUGGCCAGGGACCACACUGUGAGCACCGGGAGUGGGAGUGGGGGCAGGAGUGGUGAGAAGUAGAGUGGGCUUCACACGCCGGCUUGGGAGUUUAGAUUCUGGGACAACAGUGACAGAACUACGGAAGCGGUUUCAGGAGAAGAGCGUACAAUGAGACCUGUGUGGCCCAAGUAUGUUUUAAGGGCACACGACUUCAGAAGGGAAGACGUGAGGAGUUGAAUCCAGAUUUCACAUAUGAAAUACUGAUAACUUUCCUUUAACCAAAAACUUCUCAGUGAAUGGUCAUCGCCUAUCCCAUUUCUUCACCCCGGGUCCUGACAGCACCCCCCUCCCCCAGUCUCAUUGGCACCUGCCUAAACAAUGAAAUGGUAACUUGUUUUUCUUGUUUGCUUUAACAGCUUCACCACUUCUCCCACCAACAUGUCUUAAGAGAACCCACAUACAGACCUCUGGUAAAAAUAGUUAAUAAAUGUGGAAAAUGCCUCAACAGAAUUGAAUUUUUAAGCCUCCAGGCCUUUAUUAACUUUCCUACUGCAAAACAGUUUACAGGAAAUCUGUAUGUGAUGGGAAUAUUUUAUUGUCCCUGAGUUAGCAGCACAAUCCAGUUUGUCCGAACUGAUAAAAUUAGAACAAAAUGGAGACUUAUGUAAAGUAUAAUUCCACAAAGAUAUUAUAUAAUUAUAUAGUAUAAUUCCUGGUCUAUGUAGGGCUCAGUUCCUUAGAAACAGGACUUAUUCACCUUCGCAUUAACUACUGUAAUGAAGUGUCCCUCCCCCCCCAUGGAUUGUCCAUCAUUUGUUUAUACAUUUUGAAUUUUUUUUUAAGGCUUGAAAUAAAAAUGGGUCCUGUGGAAGUCUGGGAGCAGAAGCGAAGGCUGCUCUUAAAGGUUCUUCAUUCAAAUGUUGAAAACAAAACACGGAAACUUCAUGGGAUCCAGUUCAAGCUCUUGAAUGUAUAACAGGGAUUGGCUUCUCUCCUGAAGAGGCCGUUUUCUGAAUGUUGCUUAUAGCCAGAGACCUCACAUUUCUGUUUUGAACUUUUCCCCUUCUUCUGGACCAUUCAGAUAUUCUGAAAUGUCUCCAAAAUGAAUUUCUGACUCGGGCGCUGAGUCUGUAUGGCUCAUAAUGUCAAUGAAUCAGAAGAGCUAGGAAGUUAAAGAAACCAGAACAGAGAGGCCCGCUUCUUAUUAAUUUAAUCUUGUUUCCAGUUUGAUGAAUACAGUGGCCACUGGCCCAAAGACCCCUUCAUAGCAUCAGCAAAGGUGACUGCUUUAAUGGCAUUCCAUUGCUCUGAUACUGUUAAAUUUGAGCAUACCCAUGGGAAGGUUGGAAACAUUAAUGCCUCUGGAAAUAUGUGAAACAUCAAGAGCCGAGGAUUCUACACGUUGCAUGCGACUAUCAGGAAAACAAUCGAUGUAUGACCUGCAGAGUAGCUAUCCCGAGUAUAUUUAGCGGAGGUGACCUCAUAAAUGAAGAAGCAGGCAGUGAAGAACACGUUGGUGGUCACCAGCAGCAUAGUUGGAUGAGGGAAGAUGGCCAUGUGCACUGGCCUGGUGUAGCUCCUCGUGGCCCCCAGUGACAUUUUGCUGGAAAAGGAUAAUCCACCAUUCUGCCCUGUCUGAGUUUCCAUUUGCUGCUUUGGACCUUCCUGCUGGGCUUCAGGCAGAGGCUGUGAUGGCAUCAGGAAGACUGGCCAGAAUGAUCGUAUAAAAAAUUUACACUGGCACACCACUGUAACAUCUGUCAACAAAGCGGCCUUGAACUGCAUAAAAAAACACAAGUAACUUUGUCUCUGGAAGUGAUGCCCAGAUAAACACGCAAAAAAUUUCAGGUUGGGUGUGUCCUCAGCUCAACAUAAAAUGGACUAACGGAAGAAAAAUGGAAUAUUCUGAAACAAAAUAUCCAUGUGAAUGACUUUCCAAGGGGAAAGAUAUAAAGAACCUCUUCACCAGAAUUAGAAUAUUUCUUGGGCAUCAACACGGCAGACACACUGCUGCAAUGAAUCUCUUUGGAGAUGACAAUGUUAUAAGCAUCUUGAGACCAUAAAACAGAAAACAUCAUACAAACUUGGCCAACGUAAGCAUGUGUCUCCAACCAAAACAACAUCGCAGUGAAAUUCUGGAAUUCAGACCGAAGCUGGAGCUGUACGGUGUCCUGUUUCAUCAAGCGGUAUCAUCCGUAGCUGAUUUCCCUUUGCUCAAAGAUUCCACUGGAGAGCUGCCAACUAAAAUUCAAAUUGUCCCACAGAUAUAAGACAGGUCUUAUUCCUCAGUGAAUUCCAAUUCUGAAGGAACACGUCUUCCAUUGAUGAAGCAAGCAAGCAAGCCCUAAGCAGGAUCACCCAGGCAAUAGAGAUGGGAUAGUGAUGGCCACAGCUGUUUCUCGUUCAUGCUAGAACAACUCAUGACACUUUUUUUCUUGCACUGGAAAGGGAUAUUAAAACACACACACACACCUGGGAGCCAGGAUUAGAAAACUUAAUAUUUUAAUCAGAAUUUUCAACUAUAAGAACUUUAAAAUUGGUUUUGAAACAAAAACAGUAUGCCAUAACAUUGCAAAAUACUCUUAUUGCCUAGUAAAAGCACACUAUAAAUUAUAAACUGUUUUCUACACGUUUGAUGUUAUAUCGGGUAAAAGCCCGAUUACUUCUGAGGACUUG